rnacentral:rRNA from 1 species
GACGAACGCUGGCGGCGUGCUUAAUACAUGCAAGUCGAACGCACUCGGACUUCGGUCCAUAUGGGUGAGUGGCGAACGGGUGAGUAACACGUGAGAAACCCACCUCGAAGUUUGGAAUAACUCAGGGAAACUUGAGCUAAUACCAAAUACCCUCCUUUGGCCGCAUGGUCAGUUGAGGAAAGAUUUAUCGCUUCGGGACGGUCUCGCGGCCUAUCAGCUAGUUGGUGAGGUAACGGCUCACCAAGGCAUCGACGGGUAGCUGGUCUGAGAGGACGAUCAGCCACACUGGGACUGAGACACGGCCCAGACUCCUACGGGAGGCAGCAGUAGGGAAUCUUGCACAAUGGGCGAAAGCCUGAUGCAGCGACGCCGCGUGGGGGAUGAAGGCCUUAGGGUCGUAAACCCCUUUCAGUGGGGACGAAAUUGACGGUACCCACAGAAGAAGCCCCGGCCAACUACG